CAGCGUCUCUCAUUCCUUUAUUCGCUGAUCGCGAGGGCGGAGCGAUCUUCCCCUCCUUCUCCCUCCUGCCGCAGAUUCCUCCUUCUCGACCCUUUGCUUUCCGAUCGGAAUCCUAAAUACUCGCUCUCCGGCCUCUCAAUCGCCCGCUGACGCCGUCAUCGCCGCGGACGCUGCAACUGUUGCCCUAAUUUUCGCCGCUCACCUCGAUCUACUUACCAAUGGCGGUGAUCACUAUGCUCGCCAAGUAUAAGACGACUGUCAAGGAGCCCGGGAUUCCCGGGGUGCUCAAGAUGAUGGAAGAUGUAUUUUCUUUUACUCCAAAUGAUCCGAGGUCAGCAAAGAAGCUUAAAGUAGAUUUUAGAAACAUUAAAGGUCAUAAAUUCAGUAAAGAUGGUUCAAAGCAGGCAUUGUUGAACCUUACGCAAGAUCCAGAAAAGGGUGGAGGCUACAUUUUUGAGUUCAAUAAUUUUGCGGAUCGCAAUGUUUGUCGAGAUUUUGUAGGGAAAGUUUUAGGGAAGUUUCAGACUUUGACAACGGAACAAACUGACCAGCCAUCAUCUGGGAAAGUUACUGCAUCUGAGAAAGCUACUGCAUCAAUCGAACAACUUAGCACUAAAGAGAUGGAGCACAGAAUGAAGUUGUUGCGAGAAGAUAGUGAAUUGCAAAAAUUGCACAAAGAACUUGUCUUUGGCAAUGUGCUGACAGAAUCUGAAUUUUGGGCCACGAGGAAGGCUCUACUUGAUGAUGAUUCUGAUAGAACAUUAAAGCAGCGGACAGGCUUCAAAAGUGCAAUGCUUGCAGAUGUAAGACCAUCAACUGAUGGCCAGACCAAUAAAGUUACAUUCAGUCUGACGCCGGAGAUAAUUCAUCAGAUUUUUUCUGAAAAACCUGCUGUUCAUCGGGCAUUUUUGAAUUUUGUUCCAGUCAAGAUGACAGAAAAGGAUUUUUGGACAAAAUAUUGUAGAGCUGAGUAUCUCCACAGGACAAAAAAUUCUGUGGCUGCAGCAGCAGAGGCAGCUGAAGAUGAAGAACUUGCUGUUUUUUUGAAGCAUGAUGACAUACUGGCAAAUGAAGCCCGGCGAAAGAUCAGACGGGUUGAUCCAACCGUAGACAUGGUAGCUGAUUUUAGUGAUGACUACAUUCAUCUUUCUGUUCAUGGAAUUCUUCGAGAUGGCAACAAGGAGACUAUUGACAGCGAGAAUGAUUUUGCUAAGAGGACUCUUGCACAUGAUGUUAACCGUCAUGCAACGGUUGUUCUUGAAGGGAGGGCAUUAGAUAUUGAGUUAGGAGACACACGGGCUGUAGCUGAAGCACUUGCAAGGUCUAAAGAGGCCUCAUCUGUUGACACAUCCGAUGAGAAUGCUAAUCUAGACAGGCAGGAAAGGGUAGUUCGAAUGACUGAGAUUGAAGAUCUUCAGGCUUCCCAUAGCCUUCCAUAUGCAUCACUUUGCAUCAAGGAUCCACGAGAGUAUUUUGAUUUUCAACAAGUAAAUGCACUAAAGGCUUUAGGUGGCACUGGUUCUAGAACAAUAGAUUACAGCAUAAAUUCUGAGGAUGCAUAUUAUUAUCUACUGCAACAGAUCUCUGAGGUGAAGUUGCAAGGUGUACAUAAUCCAGUUGUUCAAUCUGACACUGCUCUUAAGGAAAACCUAACUCACUCACUGGUAUGAGCUAGGUUCUUACUGGGCUUACACAGCAGAUUUCGAGUACCAGAUAUAAUCUUGGAAAGAAUCCACAGGAGAGCGUCCUUGAUAGAUUUCCUAAAAGGACCAAGGAUGAAAUUAUGCUUCAUUGGAUGUCAAUUCAGGAGUUACUUCGACACUUUUGGUCAUCUUAUCCAAUCACAACUGCCUACCUAUAUAAUAAAGUUCUUAGGCUAAAGAGUGCUAUGGCUGAUAUCUAUCAGAAGCUCAAGGCCAUAAAGGACGUGCAGUCAGAUUUCCGGCAUCAAAUCUCUCUUCUUAUUCAGCCCAUGCUUCAGGCUCUGGAUGCCGCGUUUGCUCAUUACGAUGCAGAAGAACAUAAGCAUUCAGCAAAAAAUGGAGCCAAACCGAAUGGUUUUGUUCAGUAACAAUGUUUUUUUAUUUUCAUCUGUACAUUUAAUUAAAUUUUGAUAUAAACAUAUUCUUGGAGCAACUUUAAACCGAAGAGAGGAGAGAAGACUUCACAUCGACAGUUAUGCUUCAAAUGUUUAUGGCACUUCCUGCAUCCACGGUAAUCCGGUGAAUUUUUGAAUCUGUUGGAUCACUUGCCGCUUGAUUGGUUUUCGGCCAUCAUAUUCUUUCUAGUUCCACAUUGUGCAUGCUGCUACAUGUAACCCAUGUAUCAAGAUUAUGACAAGGAAACAGUUGUGACUCUUAAUAUGCU